rnacentral:lncRNA from 1 species
ACAGGACUAAUUUUUGUUCACUAAUUUCUGCAGCAAGCUUUUACAUUUUUUGUUACAUCUAGCUGGGUUUUUUUGGACGGAGUCAAAAGUUGCUGUUUGGAAUCUCUGUUAGUGUCGAGCUGUCGCCGUUUGUGGUUCCGGUCGAAGUGCGGUUUGUGUUGCUUGUUUUGGUUUCACACGCUAUUUGUAUUGUUUUCCCCACAAUAUCCCAUCUCUAAUUCGUCUUAGUUUUGUUCAAUUACUGGGUAAGAAUCUUAAUAAGUUAGAUCUAUAGCAGUCUUCGUCCGUCCUUUUACUUUUGAAUAUCCAUUGAAACUGUUCUUGAUUCUUCUGAUUUUUUUUAAGAAUUAUAAACAAUUUAGAUGGUCUAUUAAGAACUUUCAUCACUUACCUGUACUGACACACGAAGCAAUUUUCUUAUUCAGUGUGGCAACUUCAAGAAGAAGUGUAUAUCCAUACUUCAUAUCCUUUGGAUAAUUUUUAAUACCCAUUUUCUGUGUGC